CCUACGGGUGGCAGCAGUCGAGAAUCAUUCACAAUGGGGGAAACCCUGAUGGUGCGACGCCGCGUGGGGGAAUGAAGGUCUUCGGAUUGUAAACCCCUGUCAUGUGGGAGCAAAUUAAAAAGAUAGUACCACAAGAGGAAGAGACGGCUAACUCUGUGCCAGCAGCCGCGGUAAUACAGAGGUCUCAAGCGUUGUUCGGAAUGACUGGGCGUAAGGCGUGCGUAGGCUGUUUCGUAAGUCGUGUGUGAAAGGCGCGGGCUCAACCCGCGGACGGCACAUGAUACUGCGAAACUAGAGUAAUGGAGGGGGAACCGGAAUUCUCGGUGUAGCAGUGAAAUGCGUAGAUAUCGAGAGGAACACUAGUGGCGAAGGCGGGUUCCUGGACAUUAACUGACGCUGAGGCACGAAGGCCAGGGGAGCGAAAGGGAUUAGAUACCCGAGUAGUC
rnacentral:rRNA from 1 species